rnacentral:rRNA from 1 species
AUGCUUUAUGACUUAGAAUCGGGACUUCAAAGAUGUUUCGAACGUCAUGGACCAUAUGAGAUGUUCCAGGAGUUGAAGUUAAUAUUUCAAGAAAAUGCCCGAGUUGAUAGAUAUGAAGUCUCCAACAAGUUCUAUAGUUGCAAGAUGGAGGAGAACAGUUCUGUUAGCGAGCACAUACCCAGAAUAUCUGGGUACCAUAAUCACUUCACUCAGCUGGGAGUUAAUCUUCCAGAUGAUUGUGUCAUUGACAGAGUUCUUCAAUCACUGCCACCAAGCUACAAAGGCUUCGUGAUGAACUACAAUAUGCAAGGGAUGGAAAAGACUAUUCCCGAGCUCUUCGCGAUGCUAAAGGCUGCGGAGGUAGAAAUAAAAAAGGAGCAUCAAGUGUUGAUGGUUAACAAGACCGCUAGUUUCAAGAAAAAGGGCAAGGGUAAAAAGAAGGGGAACUUCAAAAAGACUGACAAGCAAGUUGUCACUCCCGGGAAGAAACCCAAAGUUGGACCCAAACCUGAAACUGAGUGCUCCUACUGCAAAGAGACUGGUCACUGGAAGCAGAACCCAAGUAUUUGGCGGAUAAGAAGGAUGGCAAGGUGA